UGGGGAAUAUUGGACAAUGGGGGCAACCCUGAUCCAGCCAUGCCGCGUGAGUGAUGAAGGCCUUAGGGUUGUAAAGCUCUUUCGCCGGUGAAGAUAAUGACGGUAACCGGUAAAGAAGCCUCGGCUAACUUCGUGCCAGCAGCCGCGGUAAUACGAAGGGGGCUAGCGUUGUUCGGAUUUACUGGGCGUAAAGGGCGCGUAGGCGGACGGUCAAGUCAGAGGUGAAAGGCCCGGGCUCAACCUGGGACGUGCCUUUGAAACUGAUUGUCUUGAGUGCGGAAGAGGGUGACGGAAUUCCCAGUGUAGAGGUGAAAUUCGUAGAUAUUGGGAAGAACACCGGUGGCGAAGGCGGUCACCUGGUCCGCAACUGACGCUGAGGCGCGAAAGCGUGGGGAGCAAACAGGAUUAGAUACCCGUGUAGUCC
rnacentral:rRNA from 1 species